rnacentral:rRNA from 1 species
GUGGGGAAUAUUGGACAAUGGGCGCAAGCCUGAUCCAGCCAUGCCGCGUGAGUGAUAAGGCCCUAGGGUUGUAAAGCUCUUUCGGCGGGGAAGAUAAUGACUGUACCCGCAGAAGAAGCCCCGGCUAACUUCGUGCCAGCAGCCGCGGUAAUACGAAGGGGGCUAGCGUUGUUCGGAAUUACUGGGCGUAAAGCGCACGUAGGCGGGUCGUUAAGUCGGGGGUGAAAUCCCAGGGCUCAACCCUGGAACUGCCUUCGAUACUGGCGACCUAGAGUUCGAGAGAGGUUGGUGGAACGUCGAGUGUAGAGGUGAAAUUCGUAGAUAUUCGACAGAACACCAGUGGCGAAGGCGGCCAACUGGCUCGACACUGACGCUGAGGUGCGAAAGCGUGGGGAGCAAACAGGAUUAGAAACCCGAGUAGUCC